rnacentral:rRNA from 1 species
GACAGGUGCUGCAUGGCUGUCGUCAGCUCGUGUCGUGAGAUGUAGGGUUAAGUCCCCGCAACGAGCGCAACCCUUGUCUUUAAUUGCCAUCAUUGAGUUGGGCACUUUAAAGAGACUGCCGGUGUUAAACCGGAGGAAGUGGGGAUGACGUCAAGUCCUCAUGGCCCUUAUGCCCAGGGCUACACACGUGCUACAAUGGGCGGUACAAAGGGUAGCGAUGCCGCGAGGUGAAGCCAAAUCCCAAAAAGCCGUCCACAGUUCGGAUUGGAGUCUGCAACUCGACUCCAUGAAGCCGGAAUCGCUAGUAAUCGUGGAUCAGCAUGCCACGGUCGAAUACGUUCCCGGGCCUU